AUUUAGAUUUAACGAACCGGUUUGGUUCGGUUUUGAUGAUGAGUGUAGGGAGAGAGCUUAGAGGAUUUGCAACGGAUGUUCACAGAUAUGGUUGGUGGAGGAGAUGGCGUGAGCUUCGAAUGUAACAACAACAAUCCAAAGGGUAGCAAAAGACCACGUGUCAAUGUCUCAAGGAGUACAAGUGCUGCGAUGCGUUAACGCUUUUACUUCUUUCUUCUUCUUAUGUGUUUUGUAUCAUUGUAUGUGUGUCGUGUUGUAUCAAAAUUUUCAAAUUCCAUUUUCAAUUGUCUAGAAGACUCAAAGUGCUAUAAAAUAAAAUAUCUCAAAGAACUAGUUUAGAAUAUUUUCAAGUUCUUUUUUGACGUGUGUUUAGUGAAGUUGCUUUUGCAAUUUUGCUUCCCACCACAUGCACCAAUCAGACAAUCACAAUGUAUCAAUCUUGAUUUGGUUUGGAUCACAUUAAAUAUUCCCAAAACAUUGAUGGUUGAUUUGGU
rnacentral:lncRNA from 1 species